CAUUCUGGUAUACAGAAUGAGUAUGCAGAAUGUCUAGGAUGGCUUUAUGGCAGUCAUCUAGAUCUUGUUGAAGUCUGGGAUGCUGAAGAAGUCUCAUCGUCUGAGUUUCUCACCCUGUAAGGUUGAAGCAAGAUGGAAUGAUGGUGACUUUGCCAGAAAAGAAUGCUAUAUUGUGAAGUCUCCCUCUUCUGAUAACAAGUGACCCUGCUCCGUCUUUGUGUCAGGCAUGAUAACUGGCUUUUCGGCUUCAGGAAUGAAUAUGGACAACUUGAAGGAAGGCUUGCCAAGACCCCAGUGGAGCCUCAGAUGCAGCAGAUGAUGAAAAAUUUUACAGGAUUAUCCAUGUCCAGAACCUUUAACUGUGCUCUGAAGCUGCAGUUCAUGCCAGGUAACUGCAGAAGCGUGGUUAGCCCUCUGGGAAGAAGUCUUGCGUGAUGAAUGCAGUUUUCUGUCAAAAGUGUUGACUUAAGGAAACACAGAUGUGUCUUCUCUUGAAGGGGAACUAAGUAGCUGUGAAUUUCAUCCUGGCUCCCUCUGAUGGACUAACCAUUUUCUCCUUCUGAACCAACCAAACCAACCCCAAAUACCUGAAGUCUCAGCUUUUAUAAUACGAAGAGUUUGGGGAAGCCUGUACCUCACUUUCUUUAACUGGUUUCAACCCUCAACCUUUCAAAGAGCCAAUGCUAAUUGGUGGUGUCUUCCUGGAGUAUCCUUUUCUGAUAAACAUUAACUCGAAUGACCACUGAGUUCCCUGGUGAAAUUUCAACAUUAGACUGAUUUUCUUUCCAACUGUUGUUUGUAUAAUAAGUAGUUCUUGGAGACUUAGGCAAGAGUGCAAGAAUGGGCUUGAGCAGAUGUGCACCACCAUCAGUAGGAAACUGCUAACCUUGAAAGGCAUGUGUAUCUCUAAUAAGGAUGUCUUGUCUUAAUAAGCACUAUUAAAUGAUUAUUGCAUUACAACAAAGCAGAGAAAGAAAAGGGGAUAAGAUUCAAAUCUCUUUGGGUGAAAUGUAAAGUCAGAAAACCUGAUCCCAGCUCUUCCGUAGUCCGUGCUAUGCUGACCCAGAGAUUAAAGUAAGAGAAGUUGACCAGGUGCGGUGGCUCACGUCUAGCACUUUGGGAGGCCAAGACAG